rnacentral:lncRNA from 1 species
GGCAGGGGGCGGCGGGCGUCUGCCGGGGCCUGAGCUCCUUUUAGGAAAAGGGGAGGUGCGCUUCCUGCCCCCGCCGGGGUCGGCUUCGCUUUCUCUGGUCCCACCCGGUCCCUCGGGAGCUGCAUCUCCCGCGGCUCGGCCAGGGAAAGUUCACCGGGCGCCGUCCCCGCCCCUCGGCCCCCGCCCCUCCGGCUCUCGGUGCCCCGGGCUCUAAGCUCCAGGGGGGUGGUGUUGGCGCUAAUUCAUCCUUUCCUCUCCGUUUGCGGCAUGCAUUGUUCCUUUUACACCUAGCACGGGCUUGUCCGUUUCUUUUCCCCUUGAAAGAAGUUUUCGUUCCAAGAAAUUUACACUGAAAGGAAAUUCCUGGAGAGGAAUCUGAUGUCAGCAGAGGAAGCUUUUAAAUUUUCUUCCUUUCGGUGAGAGUGGAGGGUGAGGGGGAACGACUGGGAAUUUUUCAGUUAUCCUAGGGGUGACCUAGGAGACAGGACCACCUCCCUCCCCUCCUACCGCUCAGGCAGGGGCUUGCUGAGCACCGGGAGUAAGCCCUCCGGUUGGCUGGGCUUCCUGAAAACCCUGAGCCACCCGGUUCAGGAGAAAGGACUCAGGGAGGUGCCUGAGCCUCUCCUUCCUUUUCCUUGCCACGCAUGCUCACCUUGCCAGCCUGGGUGGAGCUGGCCAGGUGUGCCUGAAGGAGGUGAGGGAUGCCAGGAGUUCUCAGAGAGGGAGUCGUCUCACCAUGAGAUUUGGUGGCAAGGAAUUAAGUGUGAAAUGGGGCCCUCUCUGCUGUUGGCGGAUGAGGUCUUUGGGACCUCUGUUUGCAUGAAGGAUAGCAUCUCUGGGAUGGAGAGAGAAACCCGGCUCAGGUCACCAGGAAGCUGGAAGGUGGGAUGGUCCGUGGAACCGGCCCCAGGAUGCUCCCCGGCUGUGGAUGACCGAGCCGCCAGCCCCCUACGGAUGCUGCGCCCCAGUCUUCUGACCCGGGGAUCCCGCCCGGUGCGGGCCUGAGCUUCCGAGCAGCCACGGCGCAGGGACCCGGGGGAAGGGGCUCGGCGCCGGCGGGAAACAUUCUCCCCCAGCGACUCGGCAAGAUGACCAGCCUG